rnacentral:lncRNA from 1 species
GCUGGGUCUCUGUAGCCCUUAGGACUCAGAUCCCAGAGCAGAGCAAGCCCCCGCACCUGCGCCCUGCCUUCCUGGGCCUGUGCAGCAGAUUCUAAGAGACACUCUUUCAGACCCAGGGAUGCAGUCGUCUGCCAACUUUUCAGAGCGGGCAGCCCUCCUGCUCUCUUCCUCCGUGUCGCCUGCUGGCCCUGCCCGCAAUGUGUGUCCCAGUGGAUGUGCUGC